UUAUUAUGAUAAAUUGCUUUAGUAUAUGAUAAACAAUUGAUAUCUAAUCACAAUACACUAACAAACUCUGUAGCGAAGUAGAUAUAAAUGUUGCUCUAUAUAUUAAAGCAUUCACGGUUGCAUUCUCGGUUAGAAUGUAGAAUUAAUGUUUAUGUGUUGUUUCAUGUAAUAUCCGAAUAUUCGUUCACAGUAUUGUUCUAAUAAGACAGAGCAACAAAAUAUGAGAUAGGUAUGCCUCGUGUUUUAUUUCUUAUUAUAUAGUGUAAAAUUGAAAUCAUUGGCCUUUUGAAAAAAUAAAUUAACUAUGUGAAUUUUUUACUAAAGAAAUAUAAGUCUAUAAAUGACAAAAAAAAAUGCACUCGGUAUAUUACGAAGACGGUGUAUCCAAUUAGCAAGUAGUACAUACGUACCCACCUGACUUUUUGCGGUGGCAGUGUCCAAUUUCAAUCGAGAAGUCAAGGCUUUCUGCUGUAAUGAGGCUUUAUAACCUGAACUAGUGAAUAGCCAGAGACCUUCAUGUCAAUGAGUACACCGCAGUAGAUCUAUAUCCAGAAAAUUGCAUAAGACAGGCGUUAAACAUGACCGCUCGAGUGUUAUUUUGCAAUGCGUCCACGGUGCAUGCGUGUAACUUAUUGCCAUAACAUUCCUCCGGUCCAUGUUGGCAUCUGAAGUGGUACCUC